UACCAGGGGCUUCCAAAUACACCAGAGAGGUAUUGUGCUACUAAUAAUAAAUCACAAUAACUCUCUAGUGUAUUUGGAAGCCCCUGGUA